AGAGGCUGAAACUCGCCUCUUUGAAGUCGGAAUCGCUAGUAAUCGCAGAUCAGCAUGUUGCGGUGAAUACGUUUCCUGGUCUUGUACACACCGCCCGUCAAACCAUGAGAGUCGCCAACACCCGAAGUCCGCUUUGCGGCCUAAGGUGGGGGAGAUGAUUGGGGUUAAGUCGUAACAAGGUAUC
rnacentral:rRNA from 1 species